rnacentral:lncRNA from 1 species
UUAUUUAAAGGAUGCAGAAGAAAAAUUAGCAUAGGAUGCACAGUGGAGAGAUCAGCAGAAACACAUAGGUUUGUGGCCCCAAAGCUCACCAGCAAAUAAUGUCUGAGUGAGAGAAGGGCAUGUUAUACCUUUGGUGAGAUAAUAGCUUCUCUCUAGCCCAGCCUUAUAUACAGAAGGGUGGAGCUGGCUGCAUGAGACCACCUCAUCUGAGUCAGGUUGCAGCUGGAAGCUGGAUGGACAGAUGCAAAUUUUGGAAUUUUCUCCUGGUUGACUGCUGUGCUUAGAGUUUUGAUCCAUCAGUGGAGGGAAAUUGAGUGAAAAUGAUCCACAUGCCAAUCUGGGCUGGCAUCUCAUCGCUUAGCCCAGCGUUUGUCUCACAUCUUGUGUGUAAUGCCAGCAACUAAAUCUCCAAGCUCGAU